CCUACGGGUGGCAGCAGUGAGGAAUAUUGGUCAAUGGACGCAAGUCUGAACCAGCCAUGCCGCGUGCAGGAAGACGGCUCUAUGAGUUGUAAACUGCUUUUGUACGAGGGUAAACGCAGAUACGCGUAUCUGUCUGAAAGUAUCGUACGAAUAAGGAUCGGCUAACUCCGUGCCAGCAGCCGCGGUAAUACGGAGGAUUCAAGCGUUAUCCGGAUUUAUUGGGUUUAAAGGGUGCGUAGGCGGUCGGGUAAGUUAGAGGUGAAAUCCCGAGGCUCAACUUCGGAAUUGCCUCUGAUACUGUUCGGCGAGAGAGUAGUUGCGGUAGGCGGAAUGUAUGGUGUAGCGGUGAAAUGCUUAGAGAUCAUACAGAACACCGAUUGCGAAGGCAGCUUACCAAGCUACUUCGGACGUUGAGGCACGAAAGCGUGGGGAGCAAACAGGAGUAGAUACCCCGGUAGUC
rnacentral:rRNA from 1 species